UACGUAGGGUGCAAGCGUUAAUCGGAAUUACUGGGCGUAAAGCGUGCGCAGGCGGUUUUGUAAGUCUGUCGUGAAAUCCCCCGGGCUCAACCUGGGAAUUGCGAUGGAGACUGCAAGGCUAGAAUCUGGCAGAGGGGGGGUAGAAUUCCACGUGUAGCAGUGAAAUGCGUAGAGAUGUGGAGGAACACCGAUGGCGAAGGCAGCCCCCCUGGGUCAAGAUUGAC
rnacentral:rRNA from 1 species